rnacentral:rRNA from 1 species
CCUACGGGUGGCAGCAGUGAGGAAUAUUGGUCAAUGGACGCAAGUCUGAACCAGCCAUGCCGCGUGCAGGAUGACGGCUCUAUGAGUUGUAAACUGCUUUUGUACGAGGGUAAAGCCCGAUACGUGUAACGGGUUGAAAGUAUCGUACGAAUAAGGAUCGGCUAACUCCGUGCCAGCAGCCGCGGUAAUACGGAGGAUCCGAGCGUUAUCCGGAUUUAUUGGGUUUAAAGGGUGCGUAGGCGGUUUGAUAAGUUAGAGGUGAAAUGUCGGGGCUCAACCCCGAAACUGCCUCUAAUACUGUUGCACUAGAGUAUAGUAGAGGUAGGCGGAAUGUAUGGUGUAGCGGUGAAAUGCUUAGAGAUCAUACAGAACACCGAUUGCGAAGGCAGCUUACCAAACUAUAUCUGACGUUGAGGCACGAAAGCGUGGGUAGCGAACAGGAUUAGAUACCCCUGUAGUC